CAACCUCAACUCAUAUGGGACUACCCCCUGAAUUUAAGCAUAUUAAUUAGGGGAGGAAAAGAAACUAACAAGGAUUUUCUUAGUAGCGGCGAGCGAAAAGAAAUCAGUUCAGCACUAAGUCACUUUGUCUAUAUGGCAAAUGUGAGAUGCAGUGUACGGAACAUCAACAUUCUAGUAUGAGAAGUUAACGAUUUAAGUCCUUCUUAAAUGAGGCCAUUUACCCAUAGAGGGUGCCAGGCCCGUAUAACGUUAAUGAUUACUAGAUGGUGUUUCCAAAGAGUCGUGUUGCUUGAUAGUGCAGCACUAAGUGAGUGGUAAACUCCAUCUAAUCUAAAUAUAACCAUGAGACCGAUAGUAACAGUACGUGAGGAAGUGAGAGACUCUGAUAGAGAGUCAAUAGUACGUGAACUGCUAGAGUUAGCCGAUGAUCUGAUAUCGUUAUGGAAUCAUCAUUAGAAUUGUAAUAUUUAACAAUAUUAUAAUAAUAGUGUGCAUUGUUCCAUAUAACGACAUUGUAUCUAUUAGCAUAAUAUUAUCAUAAAUUAUGUCUGAUGCUU
rnacentral:ncRNA from 1 species